UACCUCAAGUGAUUGUAGAUGGAGAACUAGUGUGUCUAAGUGUGUUUGUUGGUGUUUCUGAUGAAGUCUGUGUGAGUGAAGAAUAUGAUUUUAGUGAUAAAUUUGUGUAUGUCUGAUUUUGAAGUGUGUGUAACUGUAUACCAUGGACUUGUACAGCACAUUGAAAACGUGUGUUCACCUCUCCAGCUUUCAACGAGUAUGCUCAAAGUAUUUUCUUUAUUAAAAUGAUUUGACACUUUUUCCUUUUCUGAUAGAUUUGCCAGCGAGUAAGAAUACUUUUGUAACUUUUAAUUUACAUAUAAACUAUAUAAAUUAUGUAAGUUAUACAGUUUUGUCUCUUUUUUAGCAGGGGCUGUAAAACCGGAAAAAAUAGCAUAACUGGCAAGAUGGAGUUUUCUAAAAGCAGAUAAAAUUUUGAUGCUGAGUUUUAAAAGAAAAUACAUGCAAGACAAUGUUUUGCAAGAUGAGAAAGAAAUGGCAAAUAGCAAAACUUAAUGUGUUUCAUUAGCUUACAGGAAUCAGAUUUUUAAAAAUGGGACUUUUUCUGACUUACUAUUUUCUUUUUUAAUUUUUUUUUUACUGACUUACUGACUAACUUUCACCAGGAAAGUUAUUUGUUUGCAUUGUAUUCCUUCAUAACAUGUUUAACUCACUACAUGAAGGAAUAUUAGGUGAUAUGUAGUGCAAGUUAUGAUAUAUAUAAAAUAGGUAAGAACUAGUGUUAACUAGAAAUGAUACAGAAUCAAUACUAUUAGCUUGUCUUGGCUUUCCUCCUGAUCAUUCUUCUGCUACAAGAACUUGUCCCCAUGGAUUAUUUUGGGAAAAUGUUUUUGAAUCAUUCUCUGUGGUAAUAACAGCAUGGCAUCAGAAACACCCAAUGUAAGUAUAAUCAGAAGAAAAUGAUGGAAUUUAUAUACUUGAAAGAAAACACUUUUUUCAGGUUGAUAUAUUAUUGGGAAAAAAAAAUCAAUGAAAUAUACUAGUUUUUCACAGCAAUGAUGUACCAUUCUUGCCAAAGCAUUGACUAGUUAAGAUUUUGAUGUCCAGAGCUGCUCUUAAAGGUGAAAAAUUUGGGCUUAUUUCCUGGAACCUUGGCCAAUGGAGAGGACAGUUAGUUUAAGAGAUGUGCAAAUGCUCCUGUGCGUAGAUAAGAUGAGAACAAAAACUCAUCUCUUAUGUUCAUGCCGAGUUAACUGAAAUUACUGGUUUGUAAGAGGGGAAGAUGUAUUCUUCAGAGUGGCAGAAAGCAUGGCCAUUAAGACUUCCGUUUGGGAUCUGGGAAACUUCAGUGAGUCCCUGGUUUUAAUCAGCUGUAUUUUUUAUUCAGACCAGGAACUUAAAUGAGGUCCUCUUGUGACCUAUAUAGCUUUCUAAAGCAAGAGUGAUUCUUUUGCGUGGGGUAACUCUGGAGUGCAUCAAGGAGAUGAAACAAGCAAUGCUCUGAUGAAUACUUAAUCCCUCACAUGAGUCUGCUCCGUUAGGAGAGGUUGAGACGAGUACCCUGCAGCAGGCCUGUGGUGCUCAGUUUUGGAUAUUGGCAUGCCAAGAAAUUUAAUUAGAUAUCCCAAGCCCAGUACUCUCAACAUCAAACUACAGAACAGUAUGACACAGCUCACUUGCAUGCUCUUUCUCUCUCUCUUGUUCAAAGAGUAUUGGGUUUUCUGUUGUGGGAAAAGGAGAUGAUAAAAACAAACAAGUAGUUUUGUGACAUGGGAAAGAGCUUUCUUCCUGUCUCUAUGUUUCAAUGGAUCAAGGGGGUUUCUCUUCUAGCAGAAGACCUUAUUGCACAACUUAGGAUACUGUCUCGUUCCUGAACCAAAGAUACCUAUCCGACUUUUCAGUCUCAGAAAUAGCUUUUUUAAAUGUGAAAAAUGGUUUUAUUUCAGUUUUUUUCCUUGGUGAUUGCAAGUACCACUCCUGUCUCUUCAUUUUUAACCACCCAGUCUUAACAAUCUAGAUUUGUUCUAUCCAAUCUUAACAAUACAGAGUUGUUUUCUUUUCUCUAUGUAUGCAGCUGACAGAGAUUCCAAGUAAGGAACUCUAUUAUAAAGAAUUAAUCUUGAUGUGUAAAAUGGAAUUUUAAAAUGUGCAUGAUAAAAGAAGUUGUAUUUCAUUUCUGCUUAUGCUUAAAUAAUGAAUUCAUUUAUAGCAUUAUAUCCUAGAAAAAUAAUUCUGCAUAGGCCAUGACUUGAAUCUAAUUAGAAAACUGCUGUAUUAUAGAAAUGCAUUCCACACAGAGUAGUUUCUGUAUUUAUCAGAUAAGCAGUAUAUGUCAUCGACUAAGGAUCUAAUUAAGGUUUCAAGACACUGAAAGGUAAGCACUUUAAUAAUUUUAGAUUAAUUUUACUUUUCAUAUAUAGAAAAAUGGAAGAAUACUAACAUAUCUAUUAAAUUUUCAGUUUUGUUUUGAUUUCACCUUGAAGUACUAGAUACUUCUCAAAGAGCCUAUUUGAACCAAAAUUGUAACAACUUCAUUGAAGGGUAUCAGGGGUCACAUUCUACCGCCAGUUAAAUUUAUACAGCUUCAGGGAUGCAGCAGAGGGCAGGAUUUCCCUCAUAAUUUGAAUCGACUAAACACCUGUUAUCUGGAGAAAGGCACAAAUGAUAAGGAAUUGGAUACUACCUCAAAUGUAAUAAAAAUAUGUCUUCAGAAGCAACUAAAGCAGAACACAAAACAUAUUGCUACUGUAGUUGUGCACAUCUGCACAUCAGAAAUUAGAAACUGCCCCUAACAGACAAUGAGCCAUGGCUCCCUAUUUGGAAGCUAUUGGCAGAGCUGUUCAACCUGUUUACUUGCUCAAACACAAAAUGAUCUCUUAAAUUGCUAAAACAGAUUGUAGAGAAAAUUGGCAAGAGAAGAUGUUAACAUGGCCCAGGGCUUCAUUUGUAGGAUUCGCAGUGCAAAGCCUGCAGAUACUUGUCUCCAAUGGCUUUUUUUCCUCCAUUGAAUUGAAGUGAAGGAGAAGAAUAGGGAACAGGAGAAAAUAACAACAACAUCAGUGUCUACAUUUCAACCACCCAUCAAACCAACCAUCAACAAAGAGACUGGCUUUCAGAAAUUGAAGGGAAGCCAUAUGAGGAGUGUCUGAGGUCAAUUCAUCUGUUUAACCUGGAGGAGACUGAGAUCUCAUUGCAUUGUACCACUUCCUUGUGAGAGGAGGAGGAGGGGUAGGCACUGAUCUUCUCUCUUUGGUGACCAGGGACAGAACCUGACGGAAUGGCCUGAAGUUGCGUCAGGAGAGGUUUAGGUUGGGUAUUAAAAAAAGGUUCUUCCCUCAGAGGGUGGUUGAGCACUGGAACAGGCUCC